CGGGGGCCCGCACAAGCGGUGGAGCAUGUGGUUUAAUUCGAAGCAACGCGAAGAACCUUACCAGGUCUUGACAUCCUUUGACCACUCUAGAGAUAGAGCUUCCCCUUCGGGGGCAAAGUGACAGGUGGUGCAUGGUUGUCGUCAGCUCGUGUCGUGAGAUGUUGGGUUAAGUCCCGCAACGAGCGCAACCCUUAUUGUUAGUUGCCAUCAUUCAGUUGGGCACUCUAGCAAGACUGCCGGUGACAAACCGGAGGAAGGUGGGGAUGACGUCAAAUCAUCAUGCCCCUUAUGACCUGGGCUACACACGUGCUACAAUGGGAAGUACAACGAGUUGCGAAGUCGCGAGGCUAAGCUAAUCUCUUAAAGCUUCUCUCAGUUCGGAUUGCAGGCUGCAACUCGCCUGCAUGAAGCCGGAAUCGCUAGUAAUCGCGGAUCAGCACGCCGCGGUGAAUACGUUCCCGGGCCUUGUACACACCGCCCGUCACACCACGAGAGUUUGUAACACCCGAAGUCGGUGAGGUAACCUUUUGGAGCCAGCCGCCUAAGGUGGGAUAGAUGAUUGGGGUGAAGUCGUAACAAGGUAGCCGUAUCGGAAGGUGCGGCUG
rnacentral:rRNA from 1 species